rnacentral:RNase_P_RNA from 1 species
GGAGCCGGACGGGUCGUCGCCGCGGACCGCAGGGUCCGGGGAGGAAAGUCCGGGCUUCGCAGGGCGGGAUGCCGGGUAAUACCCGGGGAGAGCGAUCUCCGGCAAGCGCAACAGAAAGCAAACCGCCCUCGCUGCGCGCGGGGGUAAGGGUGAAACGGUGGGGUAAGAGCCCACCGGUUGUCGCGGUAACGCGGCAAGCCAGGCAAGCCCCAUCCGAAGCAAGACCAAAUAGGGGAACCGGCCGGCCCGGCCUCUGGUUCCCGGGUAGGUUGCUUGAGGGCGUGGGUAACCGCGCUCCUAGAGGAAUGACGACCGCCUUCCGCCCCUCGGGACGAAAGGUACAAAACCCGGCUUACAGUCCGACUCCCGAU